GAGCUAAUGAUGAGAAACAUAAUUAUCUUAGCGGAUUUCAGUGAGAUGUUUAAUCAAUGAUCUGAUUGUUACACACACUGAAGCUC
rnacentral:snoRNA from 1 species